rnacentral:rRNA from 1 species
UACAGAGGGUGCAAGCGUUAAUCGGAAUUACUGGGCGUAAAGCGUGCGUAGACGGUUAUGUAAGUCAGGUGUGAAAGCCCCGGGCUCAACCUGGGAAUUGCAUUUGAGACUGCAUAGCUAGGGUGCGGAAGAGGGAAGCGGAAUUUCCGGUGUAGCGGUGAAAUGCGUAGAUAUCGGAAGGAACAUCAGUGGCGAAAGCGACUUCCUGGACCAGUACCGACGUUCAGGCACGAAAGCGUGGGGAGCAAACAGG